UUUCCUUAAACGUUCAACAGUUCAUUAUACUUUAACCUAAAAAUAAAUGUUGAGUUGGAGAUAAAAUCUCCAAUGUGCCUUACAAAUUUAUGCAAGAAAUGCUCAUGGAUGCAUUUGGGACACAUCAUCAGUAAUGUAUCCUGGGAUCAUUGGGUGUUUCGGGUCUCUCAACAUCACACACUGUCACCCAGCCGGGGUUGAUCAAGUCCUGACUUGUGUCCCAGCAGCAGUCCACGGAUCCACCCACUUAAUCCACAUCCACCUUGUGGCCUUCUCGGCGGCUUCGCUUGCGGAUCGGAUGGCCAUUGCGUUUGUCCCUAAGCAACUGUUUUGUGAAGCCGAAGGGAUUAGUGAUGAAGGCCGCUCACUUCCUGGCUCUCUCUCGCCCCUGUCUCAGAUAUGCCACUCUGCCCUGUGUAGGAUGAUCAGCUUCUUUCUCAAAAUGUUUUUCAACUCCGCUAAUAGUUGCUUCUCCUCAUCAGUAGCUUUCUUAUACAGUUUCUUGAGGAAGAGAAGCUCCUGACGCAGAUGAUGUAUCUGGGUAGCUCUAUGGGUCGUAGUGUAGGAAGUAAUGGUACACAGCAAAUUUCUGGAGUUGAAAAAUUAGGAGUUAGGCAAAAAAGUGUGAAAGAGUUAAUUUUUUUGAGUUUAUUUUUAAACUUUAACACAAUUUUGUGUUAUGGAUUACCCCUUGCUGUAUUGUAUUCUGGAGUUCAUUCUCUGGUGUUCAGAAACGUGCUUUAACUCCUUACUGGAGUUAAAUUUUUUGAUAAAGUCCGCCAUUACACAACUCUGCCGAGCAGCACAUGAGAACUGGAGUUAUGUUCUUCGUUGUGAGGUAGGUAAAAGUGCAUUGUUAUACAAUUCUAAAAGCUUUUUCUAAAUGUAUAUAUAAAAGUGUGUUUUGCUGUAGCUGUUUCAUUUUGUACUGUGAGGCUAGUGACUGCAUGUGGCUAACUUAGCAUAGCAUGUUAGCUUUUCCAAUGUGGCUGUUUUGUGCAGUUUUUUAAAAAAUGUUGUGGAUGUGAACAAGCUAUAGAGCUUUAUGUCUGUAAGAUUUAAUAUGUGUAAUAUUGCUCAUGAAAUGUUUUGGAUUGUAUCAUGAUUUAGUCGUGACCGUGAGAGUAUGCUGUUUUCAGCUAUAUUUACAUUACAUUUUCAAUCACACUAACAUAAGUUGUUAAAUAACAUUUAUCUUUUUUAUUUCAGGCCACGAUGCUGAUAAAAGUGCAAUUUGUAGGCAAGAAAAAAUAUAUUAAACUGGAAGAAGAUUGUUUCUUGGAUUUUUUCAGUGCGGUCCAGCACAAGUUUGUGAUACCAGAGGAUACAGCAUCGAAAGUCACAGAUGACCAUGGCAUAGAGGUGGAUGAGGAUGUAUUUCAAGAACUUGCAACAACCAAAGAAACAUGUCAUCCACACUAAUGAUGAUUUGACUGUCCUGCAGCAAGGGGCUGUUGAAGUGCCCUCCUCCCCAAGUCUGACAGAUACAUUGUCUUUGUCAAGCAGUUUGAGCAGCAGUGAUUCUGGAUCUCAAAUUAUUCAACCUUUAAUGGGCAGUGUCCAAAAAAUAAAAUCGAGCAAAUUCUAACUUCAAAGCCAGCAGAGUUGACUGUGAUUAAGGAGUAUGACAAGAUAUUUUUUUGCUGCUUCUGAUUCCUGUGAAGUUAAUUUUAUAUAAUGUAAUGUGUUGAUUGUCUCAUGCAAUUUUACUAAGCCAUUGGUUUUAGUUGGCACUAGCUGCUAACAUAUAUUAAUUGUAAAUGUUUUGCUGUUAGAUUUAAUGCUUUGAUGACAAUUAAUUUCAAAGUGUGUACAUCGAUGGAAAUUCUAAAUCUAAUGUGUGGAUUUGCAUGAAUAAAAGCAGUAAGUAAA